UUGACGGCUGUCAGUUUCCGCAG
rnacentral:misc_RNA from 1 species